CGACGUAGGUAAUCUAUCCUUACAUUUGGGAUAACAUCGGGAAACUGGUGCUAAUACCGAAUGGUCUUCAUUGCUUUGGGGCGAUGGAGUAAAGGUGGCCUCUUCAUGAAAGCUACCGUGUAGGGAUGAGCCUGCGUACCAUUAGCUAGUAGGUGGGGUAAUGGCCCACCUAGGCUACGAUGGUUAGCGGGUCUGAGAGGAUGAUCCGCCACACUGGAACUGAAACACGGACCAG
rnacentral:rRNA from 1 species